UACAGAGGCCUCGAGCGUUAGGCGGAAUCACUGGGCUUAAAGCGUGUGUAGGCGGACUUCUAAGUACCUUGUGAAAUCCCACGGCUUACCCGUGGAACGGCUGGGUAUACUGGGAGUCUUGAGCCACCUAGGGGCGAGUGGAACAAAUGGUGGAGCGGUGAAAUGCGUAGAUAUCAUUUGGAAAGCCAAUGGUGAAAACAACUCGCUGGGGGUGUGCUGACGCUGAGACACGAAAGCCAGGGGAGCGAACGGG
rnacentral:rRNA from 1 species